CUAUGCGCCUUGCCAGCCCGCUCAGGUGUGCCAGCAGCCGCGGUAAUACGUAGGGAGCAAGCGUUGUCCGGAUUUACUGGGUGUAAAGGGUGCGUAGGCGGCAAUGCAAGUCAGAUGUGAAAUCUAUGGGCUCAACCCAUAAACUGCAUUUGAAACUGCGUUGCUUGAGUGAAGUAGAGGCAGGCGGAAUUCCCCGUGUAGCGGUGAAAUGCGUAGAGAUGGGGGGAACACCAGUGGCGAAGGCGGCCUGCUGGGCUUUAACUGACGCUGAGGCACGAAAGCGUGGGUAGCAAACAGG
rnacentral:rRNA from 1 species